AUUAAACUUGGUGUGACACUCAAUACAAUACAUAAAACAACAUAAAAUGGGGAAUCACAGGCAAUCAAAUAACACAAUGAAAUGUAAAUCAGUUGAGGAGGUAAAGUUAGGAGAUUAUGGACCAUAAAAAUGAUAUUCUAUAUGCUUUGCCAUAACCAAAAAUAUAAAUGUAAUAUGCAAAUGGAAUUCCAAUUUUUAAGAAUGCUUAAUCUAAAAUAGAGAUAGUAG